rnacentral:tRNA from 1 species
GCCUGAGUGGCUCAGUCAGUUAAGCAUCUGCCUUUGGCUCAGGUCAUGAUUCCAGUGUCCUGGGAUCAAGUCCCACUUCAGGCU